rnacentral:tmRNA from 1 species
GGGGGUGAUCCGGCUUCGACUGAGAUACUGAAACGGAAGCUGCAUGUGGAGGUUGCAGGGAGGCCUCCUAAAACACCUUGCAAAAUAUAACUGCAGACGAACAGUUAGCCUUGGCUGCUUAAGACAGCCACGUUCUUAAAGCUCAGCCUGCGGGGCUUUAAGGGCGACCAUAGCAGGCUCGCCUCUUUUUAAGCUGUCCCAUUAAAAAGCGGUUAAAUUCGCCGGGGCUGGCAUUUAUGGUUUUUAGUCCGGUUUAAGCCCUGAAUGCGAGACCAAGGAACCGGAAGAAACAUGUGGUAUGCUGCCGUGAAUUUAUUUCAGGACGCGGGUUCGACUCCCGCCACCUCCACCA